rnacentral:rRNA from 1 species
GACGACGCUGGCGGCGUGCCUAACACAUGCAAGUCGAGCGGGGUUGAGGCGAGAGGUAACUCGAACUUCUACCUAGCGGCGGACGGGUGAGUAACGCGUGGGCAACCUGCCUCAAGGUUUGGGAUAACAGCCCGAAAGGGCUGCUAAUACCGGAUAUGCUUAUGGCCUCGCAUGGGGCUAUGAGCAAAGGGGAAACCCGCCUUGAGAUGGGCCCGCGUCCCAUCAGCUAGUUGGUGAGGUAACAGCUCACCAAGGCGACGACGGGUAGCCGGCCUGAGAGGGUGACCGGCCACACUGGGACUGAGACACGGCCCAGACUCCUACGGGGGGCAGCAGUGGGGGAUCUUGCACAAUGGGCGAAAGCCUGAUGCAGCGACGCCGCGUGAGCGAAGAAGGCCUUCGGGUUGUAAAGCUCUGUCUGGAGGGACGAACAAAAUGACGGUACCUCCGGAGGAAGCCACGGCUAACUACGUG